rnacentral:lncRNA from 1 species
UGAACUUUGUUUUCUUAACCAAUCGUGAGAUUAGGCAUUUAGAGAUCGACACUGAGUUAGUACAGAACUUGGAAUCACUAAAGUGUUGCUUUCUUCUUUUCUAGAGGCCCCUUGAAUUGAGUUCUCCUUUUGAAAAGAGAAGUGGAAGUCUUUUGUGCGUUAGUUGCAUCUUUAGUACCGAGUACCGUACCCCGUAUGGAGCCACCGUCGCAGUAUAGCAUGGCGUGCCUAUCCGCUUGUGCUUUUAGUCGCUAUUCAAUUAACCCCCUAGAGUAGGGUGGGUGACUGACCCUACCGUUGUUAACUACUACAUGCAUAAAAAGGUCUGUAUUUUCCCUCGAA